GACGAACGCUGGCGGCGUGCUUAACACAUGCAAGUCGAACGGAAAGGCCCUGCUUUUGUGGGGUGCUCGAGUGGCGAACGGGUGAGUAACACGUGAGUAACCUGCCCUUGACUUUGGGAUAACUUCAGGAAACUGGGGCUAAUACCGGAUAGGAGCUCCUGCUGCAUGGUGGGGGUUGGAAAGUUUCGGCGGUUGGGGAUGGACUCGCGGCUUAUCAGCUUGUUGGUGGGGUAGUGGCUUACCAAGGCUUUGACGGGUAGCCGGCCUGAGAGGGUGACCGGGCACAUUGGGACUGAGAUACGGCCCAGACUCCUACGGGAGGCAGCAGUGGGGAAGAGUGCACAAGGGGCGGAAGCCUGAUGCAGCAACGCCGCGUGCGGGAUGACGGCCUUCGGGUUGUAAACCGCUUUCGCCUGUGACGAAGCGGGAGUGACGGUAAUGGGUAAAGAAGCACCGGCUAACUACGUG
rnacentral:rRNA from 1 species